UUGGCUAAGUUGUUUUUCUGACUAUAUCACAUAACUAAUUUACUUCCCCAAUGCAUUUAAUUUUUGGUUAAACAACUAAUGACAAUCCUGCGCUUAAUAAUGACCUUUAAUUAGAAACUUGCUUUUCUAGCAGACAAGCUUGAAUUCUAGAAAAAAAAGACACACAAGUUCUCGCGUGCGUUUAAAGUUGAAGCAGAAGCAUGGAACCAUCCAGUGCCUUGUCCUGAAACUUGUCAACAUGUUCGUGUUUAGGAUGAUAGACAAUUAUGGGGAACUCUAAACUGCUACGAGAUGGGAAACUGAAGCCACUGAAUUCAUGAAUCAAUAGUAUGGAAUAACGAGUGGCUCAGCUCUGGAUGUUACUCACCACUACCUAAUAGUUUUGAUUGUAAGACAAGCUGGACAGACUGCAUGUAGUUAUAGGGGGUGUUAAGUUCUUCUGCCUCCUUUUUUAUUUAUAUGGAUAAGUUGUCUAACAAUUUAAUUAAGUUGUUUUGAAGUUAGUUUUAAAACAUGGUUAAGUUGGUUUCUGAAACCAACAUAGUUGGUACUCUGUGAGCAUAUGCCUGACUUGUCUUUUAUCUGCUAAUUAAGCUAUUUUUUCAGCACCAUUAUUAAGUUUGCACCUUGAUUUACAUUAAAUUGCAGUGUUCAAUAUAGCUAAGUUGUGUACUGGAAUCCACCAUAGUUGUAUUUCCAGUAAGUUUUAUAAUAAUCCAUUUAGUUGUUUGAUCGGCGUGGCUAAGUAAAUUUGUGUUUUAUCCUAUGGUUUAGUAAGUUGUAUACUGGAUUUCAUUAAGUUGUUUUUGUCCAACAUGCUUAAGUUGUACACAUAACCUAAACAAGUUGUUUUUGUCAGUAUGCUUUUAGUUCGUAUUUUUAUUUUCCAAGUUGUAUAUUGAUCCCUAUCUUCCUCUAUCGCCCCCACCCCCUUCUCUCUCUCUCGCUUCAUGCCCCCAUUCCUCUUCCAAGAGCACACAAAUGGCUAGGGUUUCUCCCUCAGAUCUUCUCGUUGUUGAGCGAGCGAGCGAGAUGACUUGAGUUCAUCGAAGGAGGUCGAGCCGCAUGGUAGGGGCAGCGGACUGCGAGAGGCACGCGUCGGGGAGGGGGGAUUUGUCGUGGAGCUCUAGCCGUGCGUGACGGCAGGGGCUUGGCGACCAGGAUCCAUGCCGGAGGACUACAUCGACUACAUAGUUUUUAUCUAGGGCCGCACACCAGUACCAUCUCGAACACGGUGGUGGAGGAAGCCAUGGCACCUAGCCCGAGCAGGUGGCGACACCCACAAAGCCUAGCGUGAGCGCAAGCCUGACGAAUGUUCAAUGGAGAUCUGCGAGAGAAAGAAGAGAAGAGUGCUACGAGGGACUGUCACAUGGUCCUUGGUUGUAGUUGCCCCUUGCGAGCUAGCUAGGAGGACACCAACACGUGAGGGCUAGUCCCAUGAUGGCGUUUGGGAAAAUGGUCUACGUCUGGAUUGCAUAUACGUAGUAUGUUUUUUUUUCUGGGUGAGUGUUAGGUGAGACAAAAUAGCAUCCGGAUGCUGGUUGGGGCAAAAGAGCACCCGGAUGCUGGGAUAUGCAAACCAGCACCGGAUGCUAGCUAGGCACGUCCUAAU